GCUGCCGCCGUGCUGUUGCUGCUGCUGCGCGAAUCCGUCGCCGCCGCGCGUUAUUAGUGCACGUUAAUCUCGGGUCGACGGUCUUCGUUAAUCCGUUCGUCACGUCGCCGCGCGUAUACGUACACGUUGUAUAUAGUUGACGCGUCGUCGAGGCCUGUGCGGGAGCGCGAAACGGGACGUCGCCGAAACCCGUACGGUUAUCGUUCGUUAUCGUUAAAUAUUAUUGUGGCCGUUGUUUCGCAUUGUAUAGGAACGAUAAAUUAUUUUUAUUAUUCAUUUUCAUUGUGUUUAAUGUCGCGAUGAACGGCCGGAAGACGUCGUAUCCGCUGUCGUCGCUGUCGCCGCCGACGCCGACUACCACGUCGUAGUGGCAUACCCAAUAAAUUUAAUAAUCAUAAUACAAACUAUAUAAAA